rnacentral:rRNA from 1 species
GCCGAACCGAGCGAACGUUGUUCGGAAUCACUGGGCUUAAAGGGCGCGUAGGCGGGUGAUCAAGUCCGGGGUGAAAUCCUCCAGCUCAACUGGAGAACUGCCUCGGAUACUGGUUGCCUCGAGGAAGGUAGGGGUGUGUGGAACGUUCAGUGGAGCGGUGAAAUGCAUUGAUAUUGAACGGAACUCCGGUGGCGAAGGCGACACACUGGACCUUUUCUGACGCUGAGGCGCGAAAGCUAGGGGAGAAAACGGG